rnacentral:misc_RNA from 1 species
GAUGAAGAACGUAGCGAAAUGCGAUAAGUAAUGUGAAUUGCAGAAUUCAGUGAAUCAUCGAAUCUUUGAACGCACCUUGCGCCCCUUGGUUAUUCCAAAGGGCAUGCCUGUUUGAGUAUCAUGAACACCUCAACUCUUGUGGUUUCCCACAAUGAGCUUGGACUGUGGAGGUUUUGUUGGCCCUAUGGUCAGCUCCUCUCAAAUGGAUCAGCUUACCGGUGUUUGGUGGCAUUACGGGUGUGAUAACUAUCUACGCUCGUGGUCGUCUCCAAAUAACCUCCAGUGAUGGAGGUUCGCUGGAGCUUAUAAAUGUCUCUCCCCAGUGAAGACAGCCUUUGAACGUUCGAUCUCAAAUCAGGUAGGACUACCCGCUGAACUUAAGCAUAUCAAUAAGCGGAGGA